UACGUAGGGUGCAAGCGUUGUCCGGAAUUAUUGGGCGUAAAGAGCUCGUAGGCGGUCUGUCGCGUCUGCUGUGAAAACUCAGGGCUUAACCCUGAGCUUGCAGUGGGUACGGGGCAGACUAGAGUGCGGUAGGGGGAGACUGGAAUUCCUGGUGUAGCGGUGAAAUGCGCAGAUAUCAGGAGGAACACCGGUGGGCGAAGGCGGGUCUCUGGGCCGUAACUGACGCUGGAGGAGCGGAAAGCAUGGGGAGCGAACAGA
rnacentral:rRNA from 1 species